rnacentral:tRNA from 1 species
GGGGGCGUGGCGCAAUUGGUAGCGCACCUGCUUUGCAAGCAGGGGGGUUAGGGGUUCGAGUCCCCUCGCCUCCACCC